CCAGCACCAAGAAUAUUGUGCAAUGGGCGAAAGCCUGACACAGCGACACCGCGUGGGGGAUGAAGGCUUCGGGUUGUAAACCCCUUUUCCCAGGGAAGAAAAAUGACGGUACCUGGGGAAUAAGUCUUGGCUAACUACGUGCCAGCAGCCGCGGUAAUACGUAGAAGGCAAGCGUUAUCCGGAUUUAUUGGGCGUAAAGAGGGUGUAGGCGGUUCUUCAAGUCGGAUGUAAAAUCUCCCGGCUUAACCGGGAGGGAUCAUUCGAUACUGUUGGGCUAGAGUGCAGCAGGGGGAGACGGAAUUCCCGGUGGUAGUGGUGAAAUGCGUAGAUAUCGGGAGGAACACCAGUGGCGAAGGCGGUCUCCUGGGCUGUUACUGACGCUGAGACCCGAAGGCGUGGGGAGCGAACAGGAUUAGAUACCCUGGUAGUCCACGCAGUAAACGAUGGACACUAGGUAUAGGGAGUA
rnacentral:rRNA from 1 species